rnacentral:rRNA from 1 species
GUGCAGCAGUCGAGAAACUUCACAAUGUGCGAAAGCACGAUGAGGGAAUCCCAAGUGCUUGCACGUAAGUGUAAGCUGUUUCUCUGUCUAAAACGCAGAGAGAGUAAGGGCUGGGUAAGACGGGUGCCAGCCGCCGCGGUAAUACCUGCAGCUCGAGUGGUGACCGUUAUUAUUGGGCCUAAAACGUCCGUAGCCGGUUUAAUAAAUGCCUGGGUAAAUCGGACCGCUUAACGGUUCGAAUUCCGGGUAGACUGUUAAACUUGAGACCGGGAGAAGUUAGAGGUACUCCUGGGGUAGAGGUGAAAUUCUGUAAUCCUAGGGGGACCACCAGUGGCGAAGGCGUCUAACUAGAACGGGUCUGACGGUGAGGGACGAAGCCCUGGGGCGCAAAC